GACGAACGCUGGCGGCGUGCCUAAUACAUGCAAGUAGAACGCAGUUGCGAACGGGUGAGUAACGCGUAGGUAACUGCCUGGUAGCGGGGGAUAACUAUUGGAAACGAUAGCUAAUACCGCAUACUACCAGAUGGACCUGCGUUGUAUUAGCUAGUUGGUGGGGUAACGGCCCACCAAGGCAACGAUACAUAGCCGACCUGCUAGGGUGAUCGGCCACCAUGGGACUGAGGACCGGGCCAGACGUCUACGGGAGGCAGCAGUAGGGAAUCUUCGGCAAUGGACGGAAGUCUGACCGAGCAACUCCGCGUGGGUGAAGAAGGUUUUCGGGUCGUAAAGGUCUGUUGAAAGAGAAGCGGUAUCUUACCAGAAAGGGACGGCUAACUACGUGCCAGCAGCCGCGGUAAUUC
rnacentral:rRNA from 1 species